rnacentral:rRNA from 1 species
GUGACCUCAAAUCAGGUAGGACUACCCGCUGAACUUAAGCAUAUCAAUAAGCGGAGGAAAAGAAACUAACAAGGAUUCCCCUAGUAACUGCGAGUGAAGCGGGAAAAGCUCAAAUUUAAAAUCUGGCAGUCUUUUGGCUGUCCGAGUUGUAAUCUAGAGAAGUGUUAUCCGCGCUGGACCAUGUACAAGUCUCCUGGAAUGGAGCAUCAUAGAGGGUGAGAAUCCCGUCUUUGACAUGGACUUCCAGGGCUUUGUGAUGCGCUCUCAAAGAGUCGAGUUGUUUGGGAAUGCAGCUCAAAAUGGGUGGUAAAUUCCAUCUAAAGCUAAAUAUUGGCGAGAGACCGAUAGCGAACAAGUACCGUGAGGGAAAGAUGAAAAGAACUUUGGAAAGAGAGUUAAACAGUACGUGAAAUUGCUGAAAGGGAAACGCUUGAAGUCAGUCGCGUCGUCCAGGGAUCAACCUUGCUUUUGCUUGGUGCACUUCCUGGUUUGAUGGGUCAGCAUCAAUUUUGACUAUUGGAAAAAGGUUAAGGGAAUGUGGCAUCUUUGGAUGUGUUUAUAGCCCUUGGUCACAUACAAUGGUUGGGAUUGAGGAACUCAGCACGCCGCAAGGCCGGGUUUAAACCACGUACGUGCUAGGAUGCUGC